UUUCGGUAGGUGAACCUGCGGAAGGAUCAUUAUUGUAUAACCGAGGUGCGAGGGCUGUCGCUGACCCGAAAGGUCGUGCACGCCCGAGUGCUCUCACACACAUCCAUCUCACCCCUAUGUGCACCACCGCGUGGGUCCCCCUUUGGCUUGUUCGGAGGGGGGCUUACGUUUUCACACAAACUUUGUAUGCAGUGUAGAAUGUAUUUUUUGUUUUUGCGAUCACGCAAUCAAUACAACUUUCAACAACGGAUCUCUUGGCUCUC
rnacentral:misc_RNA from 1 species